rnacentral:lncRNA from 1 species
UAAAGUCAGAUGCAACAUAUAUCAUAUAUCCGAGUCAAAAUGUAUUACAUAAAGGUCAACCUUGAAACAUCAUUUUACAAAUUCAAAGACUCGUUUUCUAAGGUACAUGCUGCCAGCAAAAAGAAACCACCUCUUAGUCCGAUACACCUCCUACGAUCCCACACUUGGUGACCGUAUAAAGGCAUAAACAUUUGAUACCUACCCAUGCCCCAUUUAUACAUUUUUAUAGACACUAACAAAAUCUAAACCACUAUGAGGAACCCCUCUCUUGCGAGCUCAUCCUUGGUCCAAUGUCCACCUGCUCGUCCUUAGCUAAUAUCCUGUCUGAAAAAUCUCAGCUCGGCCAUCGUAACAUCCGCCUGGUGACCGAUCACCCAAAUACAAACAAACAAACGAAGGUGUAAGGGUCACUUCCAAGAAAUGAAUCACAGUACAAGCUAGUAAUCCAAUACAAACUCACAGUCUAUAGCAUCUCCAAAAAUUUCAAGCACAUAGACAAGAUAUAUAUUGUGUUGGUGCAAGUGAGCCAUACGUACACGACUUUUGUCCGUAAACACUAAUCCAUGCCAGAACUCGAGAAGAAUGGGAACAUACAUCUAGUAAGUGCCUACUAGCACUCCGGUACAACCUCCGGAGUGCCGCUUUCAUGAGCAUAACUGAAGUCACCCUAAAUUAGAAGGCCUCAACCAGACUUUUGAUUGGAAUACAGAGAUGCAAGAAUACGAAGAUCCCCAACCUCACUGGAACAGUCCAUGAGACCCCGACCAGACUUUUGAUUGGAACCCGGAGGUUCCCAACCUCACUCUGAUCAGUCCUCAGUGCAUGUGUGUGUGGUGUGAAAACACGUGAAUAAUAUUACACAAGCAUAAUGAAACUCAAGCACGGCUGGGCACGCUCACAUCGCGUUCGUGGAUCACUUACCAAAUAUGGUAUUCACCUUGCGUCUUACAUAUCAUUUUCGUGCUUGGUAACCUCAACACAUAAAUCUUAAACAUGCAUAUCACAAAAGAUUCAUGUAUAUACAGUUCAUUACUCAUAAAGCUUAUGUGCACUAUCACACAAUCACAUCAAACUGCAUACUUUGCACACAAGGAGCCAAUCAAGCUACCAAACAGUCAGAUCAUUCUCAGAAUGGCGUCAGAUAACCACAGUCUACGCUAUCAUGCCAUUAUACUCACAACACAAAACCCAGAGCAUCAAAACCCUACUUGUCAUUUAUGAUCCAAACUUUCUAGAAAUCCAUUUUCCUUCCCGUUUAGAGCAUAACACUCAUGGUCAUGCCAUUCUUGGAGGAAAACUUCAUUUCCUUUUGGACCAAUUUAUCAUACAAGUUAUACAACCACUUAGCAAGAAAAUAAUGAAAUUUAAAUUUGCCAAAACCCUAGCACACCCUCGGCCCCAACACAAACUUCAUGACCAAGAAUUUUUCUCAUCAAAAUAACUUGUACACAUCAUGUCAUAUCUACUCAUUUCUAGGGUGAAAAAGCACUUAAACCCCAAAAAUAAAGUUUUCUACCCAAAAACCACUUUUGAAGAAUUGAUUUUUCUAAAGAACAAAUUACAUAUCUAUGCAAUGUUGUGAAAAGCGAGAUUCUACGUAGAAUCAUAGAGGGUGCAGGAUCGUAAAUCGUAGAAUCGAAAAUCGUAUGGUAAGAUUUUACUAUAACGUAAAAAUAUACUUAGACAUAGAUAUAUGCAUAAAAAAAUACCAUAAAUAAUGCAAAUUUCUUCAUAAAACUAAAUUUAAAAUAAGAAUUCAUAGGAGAUAAACACCCAAUAUAAACAUGAUUGUGCGAUUACAUUAAAGUAAACUCAAAAGGCAAAUAACACAAUUCAAGCUUCAAGUAAGAGUGACCUAGUUUAAUUCUAAGAAUCUAGCACUAAAUCCUUAAUGGUCCAAUUAAGAUAUCAUCAUCAUCUGCAUGGAAAGAAAGAGAGAAUCAUAUUGCUGUGAAACAGAGACGUUCUUUGCAACACACACCAACAACUUUCUGACUUGGGAGGGACAAUGGAAAGAAAGCAGAAUGCAAGAAGAAGAAACGAUGGUGUUUUUAUUUGGUGAUUAGUGUGAAUCAAUUAAUCCAAUUAAAGACUUCUGACUGUUUGUAUUCAGUGGUGGAAAAACUUGGGCAAAUAUUGGAGAGUGUGAAAGUUGUUUAAAUUAUUAUGAAGUUUUUGAGUCCCAAGUUAGAAUUAAAUUGAUUUUUACAUUUCCAAAACCAGGUAAAAUUGCAAAUGAAAAACGAUUUUAGGAUUUUACAAUUUAGCUCCCGAUCCCACUAGAUUUAGAUUCUACAACCGAUUUUGCUAGGAACACCCAUGCAAAAUCGUAAAAUCUUAAUGGCAAGAACAAUAUUUUCAAAGCUUUUCUAGAAAAAGCUCAUUUCUGAAAAUCACUUUUGAGGAAAAUCUCAACUUUUCAAACAACAUAUUAUAUAUCUACAAAAAGCAUGGCAUCAAGAAGCUUGUUAACAAUGGUGACUUAAGCAAAAGCCAUUUUCAAGAAUAACUUUUAGGAAAAUAACUCAACUUUUCUUCAAAAUAAAUACAUUAAUAGAAAGCCAUUUUCUAGGAAUAGUUAAGAUUUGUUAUUUUUAAUUAGUAUAUUAGUUUAUGUUAGUUAUGUUCUAUUAAAACUGUCUAGGGGUGGUUACUAAAAUUCCGAUUGUUAAAUAUGAGUUUUGACUGUUAGUUUACAUGGUUCAGAAGUUGUGUUUUAGGAGGAGAGGACUGGACUCUCGAAUUUCAGAACUAGGAGAGGCUGGCUCUCAAAUACCAGUGUUGUAACAUUAUUUCUAGGGAUAAAGGUGCAAACCGUCCUCGAACUUUAGGGGUCAUUUGGUUUUCGUCCCUACUUUCGUAAACUUUAAGAUCCCGUCCCUGAACUUAUGAAAAUGGGUAUUAUUCGUCCUCGCCGGAGCGGAGACCACGGUGGUCAACGCUGGGGGACCGGUUGUCGCAACCGGGGUCGCGGCGGGACGGCGCCAAAGAGAAAAUUAGUUCGAAAAACAGAGUCGCCACCAAUAUUAUUUUUUAAUGGGAAACAUUGGCAAACCCAAAAGAUAUGAUCUGCGAAACCAAAAAAUGGAUCCGGGAGUCGGUUACGCGUGGGGAAGGUAUUAGCACCUCACAGCGCCCGUUUAUAAAACGGUACCUCUAAUUAAUUGUGCAAAAUAUACUAGCUUUCAAAAUAAUUGUUUUACACCGAUAAAAAGAUAAAAGGAUUAUGUAAAAGAUCGGCCCGCCGAGUUUGUGAAAACUCGUGCCUACGUAUGCCCCCAAGUGCAAUGGGGAAAUCAGAGCCUCGUAGUUCGACCGACGAAACUGACUCGAUAUUUUGUUAUUUUUGUGCCUGACAGAUUGGAGUCCGCUCCUACGUAAUCUCUGUAGAGAGAUAUCAAUGCGUACGCAGUUCUUGUUUUUUAGUUUGAUUAAUUGGAAAAAAAAAAGUUGAUUUUACCUUGAAAAAUGUUUUUAUUAGGUUGCCUGACGGGAAUCUGUUCCCGGCCUACGUAGUCACUUUUGGAAAAAAGAGACAUCAAGGCAUACGCAGUUCUAAAAGAGCUUGAAGAAGCUCGGAAAAGCUUGAAGAAGCCGAGAUUUGAUUUUGAACAACUUGAGAAAAGUCAUUUGUGAUUCUUUUGAAAAGAGAGAUAUUUUUGAGGUUUUAUGCUUUGUGAUUUUUUGGGUUUUGAAAUAUUUGAAUGUUUUUGGAUUUUUGAAAUACUUGAUUGUUUUUGUAGAUAUUAAUGCUAAUUAAUUAAUUAGUUAAGAUAAACCUAACUAAUUAAAUAAUUAAUAUCAAUUUCUUUUCUUUGGGCUUGAUGGGCUUAGUAGCCCACAUUGUUUUUGGUUCAAAAAGCAAAAGGAUUUUGGUAUUAAAACAAAAAGAGUGCUGCAGAAAUCCAUUUAGAAAAGAAAGGCAAAGAAAGAAAGGAAUCUUCCAAAUAAAGUUGAGCCAAACACUCCCUUACCUCAACCUUGUUGCCGGCGUGAGAAAUGGUGCAGGGGAAGAAGAAUGGAAACGGUGGCGCGUGAUGCUCCCGGUGGUGGCGACCGCGAGUGAUGGCGGCAGCUCUGCGUGAGGCAGCGGUGGUGGGCGCGAUCCGGACGGCGGAAAC